rnacentral:misc_RNA from 1 species
GAUGAAGAACGUAGCGAAAUGCGAUACUUGGUGUGAAUUGCAGAAUCCCGUGAACCAUCGAGUCUUUGAACGCAAGUUGCGCCCGAAGCCACUAGGCCGAGGGCACGCCUGCCUGGGCGUUACACGUCGUUGCCCCCCCAUCUACUCCUUCGGGAUUGCGGGGGGGCGGAUGAUGGCCUCCCGUGCGCCUAGCCGCGCGGUUGGCAUAAAUACCAAGUCCUCGGCGACGCACGCCACGACAAUCGGUGGUUGCGAAACCUCGGUUGCCCGUCGUGUGCGUUCGUCGCGCAUCGAGGGCUCGAAAAAAUGCUCGGCUUCGGCUCGGCUUUCAACGCGACCCCAGGUCAGGCGGGGUUACCCGCUGAAUUUAAGCAUAUCAAUAAGCGGAGGA